UACAGAGGGGGCAAGCGUUAUUCGGAAUUAUUGGGCGUAAAGGGCGCGUAGGCGGCCUGGCAAGUGGAAGGUGAAAUCCCUCGGCUUAACCGAGGAACUGCCCUCCAAACUGCUUGGCUUGAGUCCGGGAGAGGUGAGUGGAAUUCCCAGUGUAGCGGUGAAAUGCGUAGAUAUUGGGAGGAACACCAGUGGCGAAGGCGGCUCACUGGACCGGAACUGACGCUGAGGCGCGAAGGCGUGGGGAGCAAACGGG
rnacentral:rRNA from 1 species